rnacentral:rRNA from 1 species
UACGUAGGGUGCAAGCGUUAUCCGGAAUUAUUGGGCGUAAAGAGCUCGUAGGCGGUUUGUCGCGUCUGCUGUGAAAACCCGAGGCUCAACCUCGGGCCUGCAGUGGGUACGGGCAAACUAGAGUGCGGUAGGGGAGAUUGGAAUUCCUGGUGUAGCGGUGGAAUGCGCAGAUAUCAGGAGGAACACCGAUGGCGAAGGCAGAUCUCUGGGCCGUAACUGACGCUGAGACGCGAAAGCGUGGGGAGCAAACAGG